GAGAGAAUGACAGUGGCAGGAGCUGAGGUUAGUGAGGCAGUGGGGGGUUAGCAAGUUGAAGGCAGAUAAUAUGGGGCUCUGUGGGCCAUCAUGAGGACUUCAGCUUUUACCUCGGCAUGAGAUGGGAAACCACUGGAGAAUCUAGAGGAGAAAGGGAUGAUCUGCCCUUCAACAGGAUCAUCCAGGCUACUCCGGUGAAUAUAGACCAUAUGAGGGCAAAGAUUGGAAGCUAGGUGAGCAGUUAGAAGGCUACUGCAAUAGCUAUGUGAGAGAGAUGAACUAGGAGAGUAGCAGUGGAGAUCUGAGAUACGGCAAAGUCUAGAUAUAACACAAAGGAAUAGCCGACAGAAUUUGCUUUUGGAUUGGCUGUAUUGUAGGAGAGAAAAAAUAGGGUGCAUUUUUGGGUUGAGCAAAGAGAAGAAUGAAGAUUCCUUGUACUGAGAUGGGGAAAACUGCAGGAGGAGUGGGUCUGAAAGAGAUGAGGCAUAUCUGAGGCACAGAGAGGUUAAGUUGGGGACUGAAGUGUGGCUCCAGAAUCUAAGUUUCUAACUGCCAUGCUAUGACUGACCCCACUGGACUCAUGACUCAUGGACUCAGCUGGUCCUGUGGCCCUACCCAGAAGUGGACUCAGCACACGAGGACCAUUUCCCACACUCCUGUGAUUUCAUCCCCAAUUAUUCAGCAGUACCCUUUCCAUAGCCCCUUGCCCACCAAGUUGUCCAUAAAAACCCUAGCCUCUGAGCUUUUGGGGAGAUGGAGUUGAGUAAUAACUCCAUCUACUGCAUGGCUGGCCUUGUGUCAAUUAAACUUUUUUCUUUACUGCAAUAACAUGGUCUCAGUGAACUGAUUUUGUUCAUGCAGGAGGCAGGAAAAGCCCCUUGGGUGAUUACACAGUGGUUCUCAAAGUAUGGACCUCCAACCAGCAGCAUCAGCAGCAUCUGGAUACUUGCUAGAAAUGGAAAUUCUCUGGCCCUAUUCCAGGCCUUCCAAGUUGGAAACUUUGUGAUGGGGCCCAGCACUCUGUGUUUUAACAAGCCCUCUAGCCUUAAGGAAAACAACUCUGAGGACUUUUGUCACGGACUUGAAAUUCUCAUCUGUGCUUGGACAAGACUCUGAAACAUACCAACUGUGUAUUUUCCUGCCUUUGGUAAAUCUGGAGCUAUUAACUGAUUCUAAAGAACAUUUGACUUAAAAAGACUAUGGAAAGCCCAAAGAAUAAAGAUAAUGAAGACCCCAGUGGAUUAUUAUUAGCAAAUGAAAACUGGAUAUCAAGAAGGGCAAAAUCUUCAACCUUAUCAGCAGAAAGAGUUUAUGUAAAAAUAUACCACAUAGAAUAACUAAAAAAAUAAGCAAGUGAUACCUUAUCUGAGCUCAAAAUAUCUGUUUCUUUGCAAAUGGAUAAAGGAUUUAUUAUAUUAUAGCACCUUGAGGACAGAGACUUUAUGUUUCUAACUACCCAUCCCAGCAUCAUCUAGUUCAUUCCUAUGCUGAACAGCCCCUAACACAUUGCCUAAAUAAAUACUAACAUUAUAUGUGUGCAAUGAAGUAUUCUUUUGCUAAAAGCAAAACUUUCAUAUGGUCUUACAAUAAGCCACUUGUAAGACUAGUUUUAAAUAAUUACUGAUACAAAUGCUGCCACUGCCCCCAAAGAAACCUGAAUAAAAUUAUGUUAGGCUGCACUAAUUUCAGUGUCAAGCUAUUUAACUCUGCUGAUAGUCAUUUUUUUAAAGAUCUUUUGAUCUUUAAAUUGAGAGAGUUGAACUAAAUAAUCUUUUAGAUAUCUUCUAGUUUAAUAUUCUAAGAUUCUAGUAAAUAUAUUGUGUUUGGUCAGGUGUGGUGGCUCAUGCCUGUAAUCCCAACAUUUUCAGAGGCUG
rnacentral:lncRNA from 1 species